ACACCUCAACUCUCACGGUUUCCCGUGACGAGCUUGGACUUGGGAGUUUUGUUGGCCUGCGGUCAGCUCUCCUCAAAUGAAUUAGCUUGCCGGUGUCUGGCGGCAUCAUGGGUGUGAUAACCAUCUACGCUUGUGAAUGUCUGCGAGGUAAACCUCUGGUCUGCAGGGGUUCGCUGGAGCUUAUAGGCCGUCUCUCCUUGGCGAAGACAGCAGUUUGAA
rnacentral:misc_RNA from 1 species